rnacentral:rRNA from 1 species
AGCGAACGCUGGCGGCAGGCUCAACACAUGCAAGUCGAACGAGAUCUUCGGAUCUAGUGGCAGACGGGUGAGGAACACGUGGGAACAUCCCUUUCAGUUCGGAAUAACGUUGGGAAACUAACGCUAAUACCGGAUACGUCCUUCGGGAGAAAGAUUUAUCGCUGAAAGAUUGGCCCGCGUCUGAUUAGCUAGUUGGUGAGGUAAUGGCUCACCAAGGCUACGAUCAGUAGCUGAUCUGAGAGGAUGAUCAGCCACAUUGGGACUGAGACACGGCCCAAACUCCUACGGGAGGCAGCAGUGGGGAAUAUUGGACAAUGGGCGCAAGCCUGAUCCAGCCGUGCCGCGUGAGUGAUGACGGCCUUCGGGUUGUAAAGCUCUUUUGUCCGGGAAGAUAAUGACUGUACCGGAAGAAUAAGCCCCGGCAAACUUCGUGCCAGCAGCCGCGGUAA